rnacentral:rRNA from 1 species
GACGGAGGUCGCAAGCGUUGUUCGGAAUCACUGGGCGUAAAGCGCGUGUAGGCGGUCCGAUAAGUCGAGUGUGAAAGCCCGAGGCUCAACCUCGGAAGUGCAUUCGAAACUGUCGGGCUUGAGUACGGGAGAGGGAAGUGGAAUUCCUGGUGUAGAGGUGAAAUUCGUAGAUAUCAGGAGGAACACCGGUGGCGAAGGCGGCUUCCUGGACCGAUACUGACGCUGAGACGCGAAAGCGUGGGGAGCAAACAGG